rnacentral:tRNA from 1 species
GGCUUCGUAGGUUAGCUGGUGGAACGCUUGCCGCGUUGAGGCAUACUAUGUUUGUCACUGGUUCAAAUCCAGUCGAAGCCA